CUGUUACUCAUGGAGGCAGUGAUGAACACGCGCUGUUGAGUCAGCCGCAUCAGAUCCUGUACCAAUACUGAGUUCAUCAGGCAUUUCCUGGACUUCCUGGUUUCUUGGCCCAGUCCAGCUGUGAGUCCACCUGCUCCGCUCGGAGAUUCAGCUCGCUUUCCCAUGACGGCUGGAGUCAAUUAACGGCUCAGAAAAACCACAGCGUUGAGGUGAAUUUAGAUGCGACUGUCUGCCGAAUGGAGAAAAAGAGUCCAACGCUGCAGUGACAGAUUCUUGGAGUUUCCUGGUGUGGAGUCCACAAAGAAAAGAUGCAUCAAUAAGUAG